ACUCCUACGGGAGGCAGCAGUGGGGAAUUUUGGACAAUGGGCGAAAGCCUGAUCCAGCAAUGCCGCGUGAGUGAAGAAGGCCUUCGGGUUGUAAAGCUCUUUUGUCAGGGAAGAAACGGUGAAAGCUAAUAUCUUUUGCUAAUGACGGUACCUGAAGAAUAAGCACCGGGUAACUACGUGCCAGCAGCCGCGGUAAUACGUAGGGUGCAAGCGUUAAUCGGACUUACUGGGCGUAAAGCGUGCGCAGGCGGUUUUGUAAGUCUGAUGUGAAAUCCCCGGGCUCAACCUGGGAAUUGCAUUGGAGACUGCAAGGCUAGAAUCUGGCAGAGGGGGGUAGAAUUCCACGUGUAGCAGUGAAAUGCGUAGAUAUGUGGAGGAACACCGAUGGCGAAGGCAGCCCCCUGGGUCAAGAUUGACGCUCAUGCACGAAAGCGUGGGGAGCAAACAGGAUUAGAUACCCGUGUAGUCCCA
rnacentral:rRNA from 1 species